rnacentral:rRNA from 1 species
CCUACGGGAGGCAGCAGUGGGGAAUAUUGCACAAUGGGGGGAACCCUGAUGCAGCAACGCCGCGUGGGUGAAGAAGUACUUCGGUAUGUAAAGCCCUGUCAGCAGGGAAGAAAAUGACGGUACCUGACCAAGAAGCCACGGCUAACUACGUGCCAGCAGCCGCGGUAAUACGUAGGGGGCAAGCGUUAUCCGGAUUUACUGGGUGUAAAGGGAGCGUAGACGGCAAGGCAAGUCUGGAGUGAAAGCCCGUGGCUCAACCACGGGACUGCUUUGGAAACUGUGUUACUGGAGUGCAGGAGGGGUAAGCGGAAUUCCUAGUGUAGCGGUGAAAUGCGUAGAUAGUAGGAGGAACACCGGUGGCGAAGGCGGCUUACUGGACUGUAACUGACGUUGAGGCUCGAAGGCGUGGGGAGCAAACAGGAUUAGAUACCCCUGUAGUC